UGAUGCUAUCGGAUGGUAUAAGCCAUGCGAGUCAUUGUACAUACAAGGCGGACGGCUCAGUAACACGUAUCAACCUAACUCGUGGACGUGGAUAACCUCGGGAAACUGAGAAUAAACCGAUAGAUCAUAUGCUGAUGGCUUAUGGUCCAAACAGUUUACUGCCAUGGGAUGGGACUGCGGCCUAUCACUUGUGUGAGUAUGGCCACAAGCGAUUACAGGUACGGCUCUGAGAGGAGAAGCCGGAAUG
rnacentral:rRNA from 1 species